rnacentral:lncRNA from 1 species
AGCCACUAUUGUCUGUAAAAGGUAUAAUUGCCCUGCUGACACUGUAUAGGCCCGCUCAUGCCCAGACAGAGAAAGAGUUAAGCUGCUGACCCUGAAGGGAAAGCCAGCAGCGCAGCUGUGCAUGGGAGCAGCCAGAUCAAGCAGCUGAGACAGAGCAGACCGUGUAAGAGAGCUGCUGAUGAGAGAGCUGCUGAAUAAAGCUGUAUCUCACCUACCUACAGCUCCUUAAGUGUUCUUUCAGCUAUCUGCCAUUCAUCCACCCACUCCCUUCAGACCUCAGCAUGGGCUGCAGCCUAACCCUAGACCUGACAUUCAGGAAACUCCCUUUUCCAUGAAUCACUGAGCCCCUCUGAGACUAGAGCUUCCAGUUGCUCCUCUUGAGAUCAGCAAUCAGGGCAAACAAUCAGCCAAAGCGCCCGCCUCUGCCUGCCACUUUCAAGGGCCCUGCUAGCAUGUAAGCUCCAUGGAGACAGGGACCUUUGUCUCAUUGCUGAUGGAUUCUAGGACAGUCCCUGGUACUUAUCAGGUGCUCAAUAAAUAUUUGUUGAACAAAUGGCUCUUAGAUGAUGUACUUGGAAACGGCUCUCUGCUUACUAGUGUCCUUUUAGCACUAUGGCAUUUUUAUUUCUUAGGAAAAAAAAGCUUUUAUUUAGGUAAAAUUUAUACACAGACAAAUGCAAAGGUAUUCCUUAGCACAAUUUGAUGAGCUUUGACAAAUGUAUUACCUCUGCAACCAAUCAAUAUUUGUAAUAUUUCCGUCAUCAUUUUCAAGAAAACAACACCUUUUGUUGCUUAGUUUGGGGCCUUUCCUCACUUUAGAGUUCUUGUCUUAUUUUACUCUACGAUAAGGACUCGGCUGCCUUCACCUUCCAAGGUGUCCCAAGGUAUAAGCUCAGUGAGGCUGGGAUGCUCCCCAGAGGCAGGCAACUAAAUAAACAUUGAAGUAUGCACACCUGGACGGUCUGAAGGUAAAGCCUUCAGAUGCACGGAGAGGCACCUGCCCUGUUUCUGAGUGCAGCGCUGGGUUCAGAAACAUGGAGAGAAGAUCCUGGGUGGAAAAGCAGAAGAGGCUUCCUAAGUUGAAGAAAGGACAGGGUCAGGGUUUGAGAAAGGCCAGACAAUGAGACACAGAAAGAUCACAAUUUUGUCUCAGGUCAGAUCUACUAUUCUUACAAACAAAAGGAUUUCCUUCUUGAUCAUUUCAGUGACUAAAUAGCAUGUUUCAUCUCCACACCAAAACCCACACCCCAGGUUUACAAGUGAGCACAGUGUCUUGUACCCAGUAAAUGUUCAACAAAUGAUUCUAGGGUGGAAUUUAUUGAACACCUAUCUUAUCUCAUGGUACAGCUGCACCUGACCCAAUUAACUGCAACUCAAAGGACCCUGCAGGAAAUGGGCUAAAAGCUGGAACCCAUCAAUAGCAUCAUGAUCAAGAACACAGAUUCUGGAGUCAGGUUGACUGGGUUCAAAUUCCAGCACUACCACUAGAUUUGUAACUGUGUGCAUGUCAUUUAACCUCUCUGUUCCUUAGUGUCCCAUCUGUAAAGCAGAGCUGAUGAGAAGGAUGAGCUUCUUAUUAGGAUUAACCAAGAUGAUGCACAUAAAAAGCAUAGCACGUGCCUAGCAUAUAUGCGUGCUCAGUAAGGGUCAGCUGUCAUGAUUCACAACUCUGAGAAUAGGGUGAGCCUCACAAAAACACACCUAGCUGCAGGAGCUUAGCAAAAAUUAUCUAAUCCAUUCUGGAGCCAAGCUGCAAUAUUGGUAGGAUGUGGCCUCGGUGGGGCAUGCACAGUCCCAGCAGACAAGGAGCCUUGGAGAGUCUGACAGGAGGCUGCGGAACACCCCAAGGAGCAAGGACAGAAAACUUUGGAAUUCAGAGAUGGUAGAGAUUGAAGGAUAGCCUGGGAGAAAUCCUUAACGUGAAAAUGGAAGUUAAAAAUAGAUGACUUGUCUCAGCAAUGAGAAGGCAGAUGUUAUGCCUUCAAAACUCAUAUGUCCAAUUUCUUCCCCCAAUUUUUUGUUCUUACCCCAAUUUUGUGUGUGUGUGUGUGUGUGUGUGGUUGUGUUGUUUUGAGACAGGGUUUCAUUCUGUUGCCAGGCUGGAAUGCAGUGGCACAAUCACAGCUCACUGCAAACUUGACCUCCUGGGCUCAAAUGAUCCUCCCACCUCAGCCUCCUGAGUAUCUGGGAUCACAGGUGUGCCUAACCAUGCCCAGCUAAGUAUUGCAUUUUUUUGUAGAGAUGGGGUCUUGCCACGUUGCCCAGGCUGGUCUCCCGGACUCAGUGAUCCACCUGCCUCAGCCUCCCAAAGUGCUGGGAUUACAAGCAUGAGCCACCAUGCCCGGCCUCUCCCCAAUUUUUUGUGGGGCAACUUGUUUCAUACCAGACAUAUGCUCAAUCUGAGGUACGCAAAUACAUCACACAUUUGUCAUAAGGGAUUAUCACAAUUAACAAAGAAUAUUGAAAAUACAAAUAGGAGGAAAAAGAAUUUACAAUGUAUGUUCAUGUUAGUGGGCCCCGCUACAACGUAAUUCCAGCUCUGUAAAUUGGAUUGAUACUGAAAUGCAGCUGCAAGUUGGUCCGGACUGUGAGAGCUAGGGUCUGGAAAACUGGGCAUCACUGCAACCCUAGAUCACAGCAAUGCAGGGAGGGAGAGAGGCACAUCUUCGAUGAGAAGCUGGUUCCAAGUUUUUUUUUUUUCUUUUUCAGGCCACUUUCUCAACAUCAUGAUUAUUAAUUAUCCUUCUCUAUAGUACCUAUUACAAGGAUCCCCUCCAGGGAAAAAGCAGUUGACCUUUAAAAAAUGUAGUCUUUAAAAGGUUUAGACCCAUGACUCUUCCCUCUGUGAUGUUCUGAAAAUGCUUCCCUCAGCAGUUCAGCUGUGACCCACAUGGCACAAAUAACAUUUCAGGGAAAUUACUUGUCUCUGUCUCCGAAACUAGGCCUUUACAUCUUCUAGUCUCUGUCAUGAUUUCUUUUGUUCAGCUGAUGAGAACUCUAUCUUGUUCUCUUGUUCAACCAUCUUGGUGAAGGCAUCAGAGUUCCACCUGUCCAUUUGCUGAUACAGCUCCCUGGGAUAUAGCUCAAGAAGCCAAGGCUGAGCUUUCCUGCUCCUUGAUGUGGAGGCCCAGGAUACUCUCUCUCAGAAAUAAAAUUCCUGGUUAUCUUACUUCACUGGGAUGGGCAGCCCUCUUCAAUAAACAAGAGCUGUCACAGCGCCUUUGGAAGCAGGUGGCACUGCCCCCUCCCUGGCAGGCUUAGCCUUUGGUUAGCACAGAAGCAGUUUGACUUGAAGACUGAAGAAGGGAUUCCUUCCCAGGGGACUUGUUCAUCUGGCAGCAGGUCUGGUUAGAAAUUUACCUGUUGGCACAGAAAUAAAAGAACAGAGUAAUUCGGUGAAAGCAUUACAAUCAACAGGUCAGCCCUUUCUGAGUGAAGGCCUGAUGUUGGAGUCAUCACACCCCACCAGCAGGAACGAGCUGGCCUAUUAUCAGAUAAAAACAAUUAACUGCCUGCCAGGAGGCAGCACGCUGCUGUGGAAUGAAUGUCCUUCGCUUGUGUCCCAGCGCUGCCACUUCCUGGAUGAGUAGUCCUGAGCAAGUGAUGUCAACUUUCCAAGCUUCUAUUUUCUUAUUUGCAGAAUAGAACUAACAAAACCAGCCUUGUAGGAUUGGGAGGAAUGAUUGUGUGAGAUCAGCAGUGGAAAAUGGCCUGCAAUGUGCUUGACACAUAGUAGGCCCUCAUUAUUGCCAGUUUCUUCCCAUGUUUCCCUUCCCUGCACUUUUCCCUCUCCUGUUGGCUCCUAGGAAAGCAUGGUGAAUGGGAAGAAAUUAAAAGUGUGAAGAAAAAAAAGGAUAAUCCAGGCAGAGAGGAAAACAAACCUGGAAGGAAAAGUCUGAGGACAUUCAGGCAGCCAAAACAAUGAUGGUAUUUGUGUGUUCUAGUAAGUUCUGUGGUGGAUGUCUGCUCACUUUUUCUGUCUGUCCAAUGUCCUUUCUCCCUGUAUUCGUUUUCUGCUACUGUAUAGCAAAUUACCCUAAAGUUUAGCAACUUAAAGCAACAUAGAUUUUUUUCCCCCCAGUUUCUAUGGGUAAGGAGUCACCCAGCUCAGGGUCUCUCCCAAGACUGCAAUCAGUGUUUGCCAGAGCUGUCUUCAUCUCCAUGUUCGGAUAGGGAAGUAUCCAUUUCCAAGCUCGCUCAGUGGUUAUUGGCAAGAUUCAGUUCCUUGUGGACUAUUGGAUUGAGGGUCUCAGUUUCUUGCUGGCUUUGGCCAGAGGCAACCCUCAGUUCCUUGCCAUAUGGGCCUUUCCAUAAGGCAGCUCACAAUGUGGGAGGUGGCUUCCUCAGAGUGAGCAAAGGGGAGAGAGAGAGAGAUCACAAACUUUUGUAAAAUAAUCUCAGAAGUGAUAUCCCACCACUUUCCUCAUAUUCUACUCAUUAAAAGUGACUUACUAGGACCAUCCCACACUCACAGGGAGAUUACAUGCAGGCUUGAUAACAGAAGGUGGUGGUGAUCACUGGAGACCACCUUAGAAGGCUAUCUCAUUGCCUUUCUGAUAAGAGCAACCCUCCUUCUUCUGUAAAACCACAUAUGAUUCUUGUGGGGCUGCUCUCUGUAACACCUGCCACUCCCACCCCAUUCCCACACUGAAAUGGCCUGAGAUCCAGGUCUGGUGGAUUAUCAUAGCACAUCUUGUAGCCACAGUGAUUGGUCCAAGAUGGAGCCAUGUGACCCAAGCUUGGCCAAUCAGAGCCUUUCCCUGGGAUAUAUAGCAACAGGGAGCGAGACGUUUUCUCUUUCAUCUGAAAUAACUAACAUCAGAUGUAAGCUUGGGGUUUCCCAUGGCCCUAUCUUUCAGGAACCAUAUAAAGAAAUUGGGCCGGGCGAGGUGGCUCACACCUGUAAUCCCAGCACUUUGGGAGGCUGGAGUAAGUGGAUCACUUGAGAUUAGGAAUUCAAGACCAGGCUGGCCAACAUGGUGAAACCUCAUCUCUAUUAAAAAUACAAAAAUUAGCCAGGCGUAGUGGCGCAGACCAGCAGUUCCAGCUACUCAGGAGGCUGAGGUGGGAGAAUCACUGGAAUCCGGGAGGCGGAGGUUGCAGUGAGCCAAGAUCGCACCACUGCACUCCAGCCUGGGUGACAGCGAAAGACCCUGUGUCAUAAAAAAAAAGAAAAAGAAAACAAAAGAAAGAAAUUAAUUUCAAGUACACCAGGAACAAUUGAGGCCAUCAUAUUCUGAAGCAGAGAUAAAAGAUUUGAGAUUAAAGAGAAAGUGCAAAUAAACUAGUGACAUUUUCCUGAAUCCUGGAUGCUGCUUUCACCCCCCAAAGCUAAUGUAUCUCCCUUUUUCACUUGAGAUAAUUUAAAUUGGGUUCUGUCACUUGCAAGAAAAAGCAUCUUGAUCAACUUAGCUACAGUUUUUGCAUCUACAAAAUCAAGGAGCUGAACUAAAUGAUUUCCAUGUUUUUUUCAUAUUUCAAGUUCUAAGAUUCUGACUUAAAAUGUCUGAUUUUUUACUAAGAAAUAGAUUUUUUUAAAAGCGAGGAAAGAGCAGGAGAAGCAGCCUGAAAGAAAAGGAAUGCAGAAGAGGGAGACAGGGUCACUCCUGGGACCAGUGAGAGCCAAAGACCAACUCUGCCUGCUGCAUGAUUUAGACAAGACUCCCGAUUUUAACUCAGGACUGUAAGAGUGCCCUGCAAAAGGACUCACGCCUCUAGUGAUCCCAGGUAAGGCCCACACAUAGGUUUCUCUGACAUGCUGUUGGAGUCAUGAUGACACAGUAGUUGAGGGCAUGGGCUUUAGAGGCUGCUGCCCCUGGAUUCAAUGAUUAUCAUUUUCAUCACAGCAUUUACUGAGCGUUUAUGACAUACCUGGAAAUAUCUCAAGACCCAGCCUCUUCACUUACUAGCUAUGUAACCUUAGGGAAGUGACUUAACUGCCACAAGCCUCUGCUUCCUCAUCUGUAAAAUGGGUGUCAUAAUAGUUUACUUCUCACAGGGAUGUUGUGAGGAUUCAAUGAGUCAAGAACAGUAUCUGGCACGGGCUCAAGCAUCAAGAACAGUAUCUGGCACGGGCUCUUCCUAAAAUGUUCCUCCUUGCCUUUUACACACAGCUCAAAUACCAAACAUCCACAAAACUUCCCCAAUUGUACUCCACCUCCUCUGUCUCCCCCGAGCACUUUGUUCCUGCCUGCUGGCUUUCUUUCUGCACACAUUAUUUAAGAGGUAGAAUGAUCAGGAUUUCUAGCUCUGUAUUUCAUUCACCUGCUCACAAAUCUAUCACCUGUGUGGCUCACCAUACCUUAUCUUUGGGUUCCUGAAGCGUUGGUCAAUGACAAACACACAGGAUCUCAACAAAUUUAAAUGGAUUGAGUAAAUAAUAUUCAGCCAUCUCUCAAGAUCAAAGCAGACAGUAUGAUCAGUAGUACGUGCCACACCUUUUGGUUUCACCACCUCAGUGAGCAUUAAGGAUUUUUGUCAGGCGAAACUGAUGUGUGAUUGUAAAGCUGCUCCUCACAUGAAACCACCAAUUGCUCAAGCUAAAAGUAACAAUUCCUCACAGCUGGCAGGCCAGCCCAUCUGCAACUGGCCGUGGAGCCUGUGUUAACGGGUGCGGUGCUGCUAGUUUGGAAGCUGACCAAAGAGACAGUAAACACAAAGGUUGCCUGGGUGCAUAAAUACAAAACGAGCUCCUCCUUGCCUCAUCCCCGAAACAGGCCAGUCACAGCAUCAGGGACUCCACAAGUGUCUACUUGUCAGCUCCUGUCAAGUGCAACGGCAAGGACCUACCACCCUCAAGCUGCAGAUAUUAAGGAUGAAAUUGCAGGAGCUGCGGUUUUAUAAGAAGCCAAACAUUGUGUGCAUUCAGAAAAAGAUAUUUUUCUAAGGCUGACCCGGCAGGUGGGAGGGAGAGUGAGGCAUCCUGAAGGCUGCAAGCCUGGCUGGCUGUGAUCCACGCAGGAGAUCUACACCUCAGAGCACUUCCUCCCACUGGGCAGUGGACCACUCGAGCAGCGGUUCUGAACACCUGAUCCCCAGACUCAUCGCAGCAGCAGCAUCUAGGAACAGGUUUUUGUGGAGAGACUGAGAAAAUCACUUCCUGGAGAAAUGAAGGCUGAAAGCCCUGGCAAAAAAGGAGAUGGUUCUCUAGAGACAGGCAGGAAAAAAGUUUCAGGAGGAGACAUGUCAGGUGCUGAUGCGAGAAGCAAAGGUACCAAUGUUGAUGGCACCUUCUUCCAGAUCGUAAAGGGCUUCUCCUUGGGUUCAAGCUUUCUGCAAAUGGCAGCAGCUGGGCAGGCUGCUAAGCAUAGAGGAGAGUUGCCCUCACCUGAUCCUGAGAACCAAGACUAAGUAACGCAUCCUGGAAAGGCCCAGGCCAAACAGAGGCCCUGUGGCGAGUUGCUCCAAGGGAAACCCAGGAACGGAGAAGGAAGGAGGAAGUUUGGGAAGCAGACCCAUGCUUUGACUGAAAGGUGAGCAACAAUAGAAGGAAGGGGAAUAAAAGCCUUCCGCUUUCGUCAUCCCUGCAAAGAAAAUGGAAUUCAUAAAUUUGAGACUCAAAUGUACUCUGCAAAAUUUUAAAAUUUGCAGCAUUUUGUUAUUUGGGGGCCGGUGUUAGACUGCAGAUAAACAUGUAGUUUAAUACAUACAUAUUAUAUCAGAUUACAUAUUGCUACAAUUAUUGGAGUUGCUUUGCUGUUUGCAAAAUGAGCCUUGUAGGAAACAAGUGUUUCCAAGUAAAUGAUGACUGAAAGAUUCUAUGAAGAAGAAAAAAAAUGUAACCAUAAGGUUUAAAUGCUUUAGAGGAAGUCAAGCUUGGAGGACAAGUUAUAUUUGUGUUUAGAAGCCAUGCUGGAUGCUACAAGUGUGCAUUAUGAAUGUGCACAGUAAACGGGAGGCAAAGGAGCCAGCAGGGCUAUGAGGAUGGGGGUGCUAUGGGGACAUAGUCAUAGACAGUUAAAGAGCAUAAAGAAUAUCGACAGAGUUCAAUGAAUAGAAUGGAGCUACCCUGGGAGAUAAAGAUACACAAUUAGGUUGAAGCACAACCAGAUAGGUGAUAUAUUAUGUUCUUUCUCAAGGUUGGCUUUUCUGUGCUGUUUAUCUCCCAAGAACACUUGAGUUGUUGCAAGCAAACUUUCUGGGUUUUUUUUUUUUGUGGAGAUGGAGUUUUGCUCUUGUCACCCAGGCUGCAGUGCAGUGGCAUGAUCUCAGCUUACUGCAACCUCCGCCUCCCGGGUUCAAGCGAUUCUCCUGCCCCAGCUCCUGAAUAGCUGGGAUUACAGGCACCCACCACCACUCCUGGCUAAUUUUUUGUAUUUUUAGUAGAGACGGGGUUUUGCCAUGCUGGGCAGGCUGGUCUCGAACUCCUGACCUCAGGUGAUCCACCCUCCUCAGCCUCCUAAAGUGCUGGGAUUACAGGUGUGAGCCACCACUCCUGACUGCAAAGCAAACUUUUGAGCUGAGAACUGAAGUCUCAACUCAAGCACAGUCCACUAACUGUCUUCCCUAUUGCUGUAGAGCCCUUGGUAGGGAACUAAAGACCUUCCACAAGCUGAUCUCAGUCUGCCUUCCCAAACUAAGGCACAGAAGAGCCAGCAGUUAAAGUAUUAGACUGGGAAAAGAUGAGUUAACUUUGGGCCUCUCUAACCCCACUUUGGUAGUUGAGAGAUAGCACUGGUUGCCUAAUAAGGAGUGGGAUGGUGGCAAGUACAAAGCUUGCUCAUCCAUCCAGGCAUUGUCCUAUCCCCUCAGCUGCCCUUUCUACUUCCUUCCUCCUUCGCCCCCACCCCAUCUUCAAGGAAUUUAGCUAUACUCUGCAGGUGCCCUCUGACCAGCCAAAAUCAUCAUCACAGCCAAAACCAUACUUGCCCACCUUUUGACAUGCUUCAAACUUACUACGCACCUUUCCUUUCACUUUCUACCCAACUCUCCAGACAAAUUCACAGAGAAAUCCUGGCAUUAUUGUCAUAGCAAAACACAGUAGAGAAGCCUUACUGUUAAUCAACAUGGGGAUUAGCUAAAAAAACAAAAUUGUGGGCCGGGCACGGUGGCUCACGCCUGUAAUCCCAACACUUUGGGAGGCCGAGGCAGGCAGAUCAUGAGUGAGGAGAUCGACACCAUCCUGGCUAACACAGUGAAACCUCGUCUCUACUAAAAAUACAAAAAUUAGCUGGGCGUGGUGGCGGGCACCUGUAGUCCCAGCUACUGGGGAGGCUGAGGCAGGAGAAUGGCGUGAACCCGGGAGGCGGAGCUUGCGAUGAGCCAAGAUCUCGCCACUGCACUCCAGCCUGGGCAACAGAGCGAGACUCCACCUCAAAAAAAAAAUUGUGGUUGACCCCAUUAAGGAAUACUAUGCAGCCAUAAAAAAGAAGAGGAAUGCACUGCGUGAAUUAAUAGGGGGAAAUGUCCAUGAGCAUUCUUUUUUCCCAAGUAAUUUUCCCAACACUAUGUCUGGAGAGAGAUGAAUCCAUUUUUUAUAAAAUAAAACAAAAUAAAAACUAUAUAGAUGUCCUGAGACCCACCCCCACCAAGAGUAUGCCUGCAGAAAAACAGGUAGUCUGACUUGGCUAAGGUCCGAGCUACUUGCCUUGCUGGUUUGGAUUGAGUAUACACACUGGGUGAGUCUAACGGUGGACGUGGAGGAGUAGGAGAACCAGAGCCAGUUCAGGUGCAGGGAGGCUGGGAGAAGGCAGGCUUGGAAGAAAGAAUGAGGAAGGGAAAAGAAAGGGCAAGAGAGACAGAGAGAGCAGGUGCUGUGGGGAGAGGAACUACUUCGGGGACAUCCUACUGGCUACCCUGAAAAUCAUGGGAGUAUUUUGGUGUGAUCACCACUUUCUAAAGCCAGUUUUUCAGCUUGGAAUAUUUUUUUUAGCCACUGUGGAAGAAACAAAACUUCUCAUCGAAUAUUAGGUUUAUAAACUGUCAGAAGAACUUUAUUUUAAAGCCACUGCAAAAGGAAAAUAAUUGAGCUGGUGUUUGCUGCCUAAAACACCAGAGGUCACAUAGUAUGGUCUUAAAGAAGAGAAACUCAGGGAAAGGAGGGAAAGAAGAAGAAAAAUGCUUUGAACUUAAUAUGUAUAUAUCUUCAUGUGACUAAUAAGAGGUAAUUUUUGAGCCAUUACCAUCUGCUAAAAUUACCUUUCAUGACUGGCUAAGCCUUUAUCACAAGCCUUUCAAUUCAUGCAGAUGUAACAGGUUUACAUUUUACAUGGAUAAGGCCCUGCAGAAAAACAAUUUGACAACAAUGGUGUCCUUAUCCCUUCAUAAUUAAUGACAACAGAGAAAUCUGUAUCUUGAUGGAUAUCAGCACACAUGUUUAUCCUCAUUCGAGACCUUCACCCCAUUCCAAUAGUCAGCUGUCAAAAGCUUUUUGUUUAGUUCAUUAGGUUCUCACUUCAGCUUCCUUAUAAGCAAAAACAGAUGACUUACAACAGAAGAUGGAAUAAGCAAAAUAUUUUAGAUCCGAGUUAUUUGUUUCACAGAUUUCAUUUAAUGUAAACUGAUUCCCUUCAUAAGGGGAGAUAAACUCCUGGAGAGUUCUGUUGUUGUUUCUAAUUUAAAUAUAUUUUCUAUAUUUUCCAAAAGGCGUAAAUAAAUGUGUUUUAAUUUGUAACCACAAAAAUAAUUUUUAAAAAUAGUAGAGAUCAGGCCGGGUGUGGUGGCUCACGCCUGUGAUCCCAGCACUUUGAGAGGCCAAGGCAGGCGGAUCACUUGAGGUCAGGAGUUCCAGACCAGCCUGGCCAACAUGGUAAAACCCUAUCUCUACUAAAAAUACAGAAAUUCGCCGGGCACAUCUGUAAUCCCAGCUACUCAGGAGGCAGGAGAAUCGUAUGAACCCAGGAAGCAGAGGUGCAGUGAGUGACAGAGUAAGACUCUGUCUCAAAAAUAAAUAAAUGAUAGAGACCAAUCAUAAAAAGUAACUGCUUUGUAAAAGCUUUAGUCCUCACCCUGAUUCCCCACUGCUGCUGUGUCCUUCCAAAGAAGAAUUAGCGUCUCCUCAAACAGGAAAGCUGAUUUUAAUGGUGGGCCCAAUUGAUGACUGAGUCUGCCUGGCUGGCCUGAUGGCAGUCAUUGAUAUCCAUGGAAGAAGCCAUGUCUUCUCAGGAGUUUCCACCAUUUGUGAAGAAAGUACCUCAGUCAGAGCUUCAGGUGCCUCUAGUAGCCUCUAGCUGCCUUAGUACUUGUGAGGCCACAGCCCUGCUCAUUUAGCCACCAUGCCUCUGUUUCCCACAGAAGACAAAAUAUAAAGCAUCCAAAAAGUGUAUGUCUCAGUCAGGGUCCAGACAGAGAUCAACGGGAGAUUUAACACAGAGAACCAGCUACCAGGGUGUUGGAAGAGCUGAGAUGCAGAGCAGGGGUCAAUGAUGUGACCCAGGCAUCAGCAACAAUUGGAAGUUGUCACCUGCUCUAGGCUGAUGGGACAAACUUAUUACCCGUGCCCAGAAGCCAGGGCUCCCUGGUGAGAACUGGCUGCACCGGCAGAGGAGCUGUCUCACGGGAGGUGGAUGUGAAGGAGGCACAGUCCCUGUUGGAGAGGCCACUGGAAGCAGAGAAAUGGGGAGAGGAAGGAAUACCCAGGCUUCUUCGUUCCCCGCUCCAUCCUCUCACAGUGCCUCCCAUUAGCGGAAGUUCUCCAGAAGCCACUUGGCAAAGGAGCCUGAGAAAGAAAGGAGGAAGCACUGAGGCAACAUGAGCUGACAGUUUCACUCUGUCCUUUCUUCUGUAUUCCGAGUGUAGCCCACUCACUGUUGUCUCCCACUUGAGUCGUGCAGCAUCCAUCUGACUCGUCACCCCGCCUCCAAGACAGUCUCCACACCACCGCUAAACCUCCUCAGGGGCCUCUCGGGAUCUUCAGGUGCAAAGCUACUGCACGGUCCUUCUGAGCUGACCCUGCCCCGCUCUACCAUACCUCUUCCAAUGGCCGCCUCACAUCCUAUGCUCCUGCCAGACUAAACCUUCUUAUUGUUUAUUCUUUCUUUAUGAAAACAUUCAAAAGAGCAAAAAGGCCCAGAGAGUAAUACGAGGAACAUCCAUGUAUCUACCAUCAAGUCUAAACAUGUAAAACUUUAUAAAGCCUCUUGUGUAACCUUUCUGUGAUUACACUUCCCUCUUUGAUCCACUGCCAAUGAAAACCAUCAUCCUGAAUUUUAUGUUUAUCAUUUUCAGGUAUGUCUUCAUGCUUUGAUAAAAUACAUAAAUAUCCCUGAGUGAUCAAUGAUAUUGCAGGUUUUCAGGCAUUAUAUAUAAAGUAUCAUAGUGUGUGUACCCUUUAGCAACUUUUCCACUCAACAUUACAUUUAGGAGCUAUAUACCUGUGUAUACAUGGAGCCCUACAUAGUUCACUUCUAACUGUUCCUUACCAUAGAACUGUACUUACACUAGGUGGAAUAAAUUGCCUUAUGAGUGUCGGACUAUAAAAUCAGUACACUAUGGGUUAAAGCAGAUAUACAUGAAGCCAUCCUCAAAAGAGUCAGAAUAGGUCUUAAUAUGAUUAAACAUACAAACAUACCACACUGAGCGAUAUAUCACUCAGAAAAUGGUUGAUCAGCAAUGGAAGCAUGGAAAACAGAGAGUAAGAGGAAUAAUCUUCAGAAGGUAGCUUAGUGUGUGGGAAGAGUCAGUUGAAGUGUCGUCAAGCUAUAAAAGUUUGAUGCUUCCUUCUCCACUGUAAAAUAAUAAUAAUAAUAAUAAUAAUAAUAAAAAAGACCAGUUUAAUCACAUGGUUGAGAGCCACAUUUUUCUCUUCCUUGGACAAGGUCAUGCUGUGUUUGCUUCUCUUACUCUCUGUUUUUCAUGCUUCCAUUGUUGACGAACCCUUUUCUGAGUGACAUAUCGCUCAGUGUGAUACGUUUGUGUCUUUAAUCAUAUUAAGAUCUAUUCCAACUCUUUUGAGGAUGGCUUCAUGAAUUUCUGCUUUAAUCCAUAGUGUACUGACUUUAUAGUCUGACAGUCACAAGGCAAUUUAUUCCACCUAGUUUUAAGAACUUCAAGUGUAGAUCAUCCAAAAUAUUCACAUCCUUUGAUCUUGUAAUUUCCAUUUUAGGUAGUGGCGGCACACAUCCUCAAACGUGCACUGGUGUAAAUGUUGCAAUGCUAUUUAUUAUAUCUAAAAUUGACACGUAAAUAUGCCUCAAUAGGAGACUAGUUACAUUAAUUAGGUAUUUCCAUUCAAUUAAAUACAAUACAGCCACUAAAGAGGCUUCAAUCGGUUUUCAUUUAUAGUACUUACAUGGAAAAAGAUACCUAACAUCUGUCCAAUAGAAAAAAAGCAAGUCAUGAAGUAAUAUUAAUAGUAUUACUUACUUUUAAUGUUAAAAAUGUUUAUAUAUGUUUAUAUAGGCAAAAAAAGUCUAUAAAUACACACGCACACACAAGUAGCUGGGCUCAGUAGCGUGCAUCUGUAAUCCCAGCUACUUGGCAGGCUAAGUAGGAGUAUCCCUUGAGCCCAGGAGUUUGAGGCUGCAGUGAGCUGGGAUUGGCCACUGCACUCUAGCCUGGACAGCAUAGGGAGACACCCAUUUCAUACCUUAAAAAAAUACACCACAGGAAUUUUUAUGUUAUCAAGAUGCUAACAUUGGUAAUGGCUGAGAAGGUGGAAUUGUGUAUUUGGGGUAGGAGACAUUUUUCCCUUUUUUGUAUUGUUUUAUAUUAUAAUCUAUUAUCUGAGAAAAUACAUUUCUUGGCUUUUUGCAUUUUUAUAAUUUAAUUUCUAUUUUUAAUUAUGUAAUAUAAAACUAAAAAAUACAAAUAGAUUUUUGUGGGGAUAAAAAUAUGUCAGAUUCAGAAUUUUAAAACAUGCCUUUGCUAUUUAUAUGAACCUCAUGAUAAAAAGUAAGGAGAAGGCUCACCAGCCAGGAGCUGAGAACCGCCACCUCGAGUUCCUUAGUGCAUGGAUUUAAUCAGUUCUCUUUUAUACCUUAGUACAACCCAAAAUUCAGCCUUGCCUCAGCCCACUCCAGGAACUCCUUUGGGAGCUACAGGGGAGGAAGGGCCUUGUGUCACCUGGAACACUGAUCCAAACAAAGCACUCGCGGGGAAAAUAGAGGCUAUCCAUCUUUGGCAAACACCCAACCUGGAGGACAGAGUUGGGUGGGAUCACAGAUCUCUCUUCCACCCAUACUCAGCAGGAUGGAGGGCAUGGAGCCCGAUUCUCGUCCAUUAAUCAACUUUAACCCUUCCCUUUAUCUCUAUUCCCAGAGAUAAGACCAGUUUCCUAACCCUUAAGUCCCUUGCCAGAGAUCUCUGUUAUCCUGAAGUUUAGUAUAUGAUAUUUCCCAUGCACGCUUUUAUGCUGUAAAAUAGCAUACAUAGUGUUUUAUGUUUAAAUUUAAAUCAAGACUUUGAUGUUAUGUGUAUCUUUUAGGAACUUGCUUUCUUUUUCAAUCAACAUUUUUGAAACUUAUCUAUGUCUAUUCAUGCAGAUCUAUUUCAUUUAUGUUAAGUGUGAGUUACCACAUUUUAUUUACCCAUCUCCCUACAGGUGAACAGCUGGAUUAUUUCCACUAUGUUGCUGUUAAAAACAGAGCUAUAAUGAAUAUUCUUGUAUUUGCUCUGUGUGCACAGGUGCUGAAAUUGUUUAAGGUGGUUAUUGUCAUAGAUAUUUUCAGAACUUCCUUAUAAUGCAUAAUGAACUCUGAAAAAUUUAAAUGAAUGGCUCCAUUGUUCUAUGCAUAUAUGUAAUUUUUUCUUUUUUUGUUACUGUUUGUUUGUUUUUAAGACAGGGUCUCACUCUGUCACCCAGGCUGAAGUAUAGUGGUGUGGUGCAAUCUUGGCUCACUGCAACCUCCACCUCCCAGAUUCAAGUGAUCUCCUGCUUGAGCCUCCCGAGUAGCGGGAUUACAAGUGUGCGCCACAAUGCCUAGCUAAUUUUUGUAAAGAUGGGGUCUUGCCAUAUUGGCCAGGCUGGUCUUGAACUCCUGGCUUUAAGUAAUCCGCCCGCCUCAGCCUCCCAAACUGCUGGAAUUACAGGCAUGAGCCACCACACCUGGCCCACAUAUGUAAUCUUAAAUGUCUCUGGAUUUGUAUGGUUUGAUCCCUUAGUGCAUGUUAACACCUUAUACUAAGAUGAAAGAGAUGGCAAAGUCAGCAGUAAUGAUCCUUACACCUUAAAAAGAGAAGUAGGAUGUUAUGAUACUAUCUGACCCUUGUUUGUCUUUUUAUGUGUGUGUCCUAGCUCCCCAGCUAGACCCAGAGCUUCUUGUCAGGAAUGAUUAUGUGUUAGACUUCUUAGAAUUCUCAGUACGUAGGAGAGUGCCCUUUACUUGAUGUAACCUCUUGCUCUUAAGGGUGUGCCCUCAAACCAGCACCAUUGCCAAUACCUGGGUGCUUGUUAGAAAUGCAGAAUCUUAGGUCCCACCCGAGACCAACUGAAUCAGGCUCUGCAUUUUAACAAGAUCCCCAAGUGACAUUAAAGUCUGAGCAGCACUGUUGUAAACUCAUUGUUUCCAGGACCUUACCAACAUAUGUGUUUAAUUUUGAUCAGGUUAAC